UACGUAUGGUGCAAGCGUUAUCCGGAUUUACUGGGUGUAAAGGGAGCGCAGGCGGCACGGCAAGCCUGAUGUGAAAGCCCGCGGCCCAACCGCGGGACUGCAUUGGGAACUACCGGGCUGGAGUGCCGGAGAGGUAGGCGGAAUUCCUAGUGUAGCGGUGAAAUGCGUAGAUAUUAGGAGGAACACCAGUGGCGAAGGCGGCCUACUGGACGGUGACUGGCGCUGAGGCUCGAAAGCGUGGGGAGCAAACAGG
rnacentral:rRNA from 1 species